rnacentral:rRNA from 1 species
UACGUAGGGGGCGAGCGUUGUCCGGAAUUACUGGGCGUAAAGGGUGCGUAGGCGGCGAUGCAAGUCCAUUGUGAAAAGCCCGGGCUUAACCUGGGAGGUGCAGUGGAAACUGCAUGGCUUGAGUGCAGGAGAGGAAAGUGGAAUUCCUAGUGUAGCGGUGAAAUGCGUAGAUAUUAGGAGGAACACCAGUGGCGAAGGCGGCUUUCUGGACUGUAACUGACGCUGAGGCACGAAAGCGUGGGGAGCAAACAGGAUUAGAUACCCUGGUA